AGUCUCAGGCUCAGCGCUCAGCCCUACACAUCGCCUCUUGCAUGCAACUCACAGAGAGGGAGAGGCAACCUGUCCUCCCCUCUCUCAGCCUCGGCAUCUCCAGCCACCAAGGACCUGCUUUUCGCACCUCCAACAACCCCUCCCUUCUACCCUGCCACUCCCUCCCAGAGAGAAAGGAAAAGGAGAGAGAAAGAUUCUGGAAUUUGAACCUACCCAAAGAGGAAACAUACCCAGCAAACUCAGUUGAUUAAACAUCAAACAGACAUACAGACAGAUCCCAAAUCUUCUGUUCAACUGGAAAGGUCUUUUCUCUGGAGUCCUGGGAGGCAAGUUAUGGGCAGCACUGCUUCUGGCCGCACCAUGAAGCCUGAGUCUGCUUGCGCUCUGCCCAGGGCCCUGCUCUGUCUGAGCAUUGGGCUUCUAGCUGCCCCCCUCCCCACAGCCUGCCGCUGCUAGGAGGUAGAACUUUAGGAGUGGUCCUUGGCCUGUUUCUACCUGUCACCUGGCUCACCUCACCACUCACUCCUCCUCCAUCACAGCACCCCGGCCCUCCCUGUCCCUGGCCUCCCUGGCUGGGGCAUUUGGGGGUCCGCUGGGAGGAGUGCAUCGCUGAAGGCUUCUUCCUACUCUCCUGCACCUUCUCCUCCUUGAGUCAAGGCCUCCGGAUCCACAUGGAUAGCUGAGAUCUUUUCUUGGAGAAAGACGCUUUCCUCUUUACUCCAGUCCCUCACUUCCCCACCUGAUUUUCCUCCUCUUCUGCUGGUCCUGUCUUUUUCUACUGCCUCUUUAUUCAAUUUCUUGCUUGUGUGCCCCUCUGGGACUCUCUUGUACACUUUCCUCCAUCUCCACUAUCUCAGGAUCUGUGUGUGUGCUGCCUUCCUCCUGUGUGCUUUCUGUCCCCCCAUCUCUGUCUUGUCUUUCCCACUUCUAUUGCCAAAGGGAGAGAUCCUCUCCGGGCUGUUCCCUGGCCUGUCUGCUCCUCCGGGCUCUGUCCCAGCAGCGACAAUGAGCUCCACACUCCACUCGGUUUUCUUCACCCUGAAGGUCAGCAUCCUGCUGGGGUCCCUGCUGGGGCUCUGCCUGGGCCUUGAGUUCAUGGGCCUCCCCAACCAGUGGGCCCGCUACCUCCGCUGGGAUGCCAGCACACGCAGUGACCUGAGUUUCCAGUUCAAGACCAACGUCUCUACGGGGCUGCUCCUCUACCUGGAUGAUGGCGGCGUCUGCGACUUCCUAUGCCUCUCCCUGGUGGAUGGCCGCGUUCAGCUCCGCUUCAGCAUGGACUGUGCCGAGACUGCCGUGCUGUCCAACAAGCAGGUGAAUGACAGCAGCUGGCACUUCCUCAUGGUGAGCCGUGACCGCCUGCGCACGGUGCUGAUGCUUGAUGGCGAGGGCCAGUCUGGGGAGCUGCAGCCCCAGCGGCCCUACAUGGAUGUGGUCAGUGACUUGUUCCUUGGUGGAGUCCCUACUGACAUACGACCUUCUGCCCUGACCCUUGAUGGAGUUCAGGCCAUGCCCGGCUUCAAGGGGUUAAUUCUGGAUCUCAAGUAUGGAAACUCGGAGCCUCGGCUUCUGGGGAGCCGGGGUGUCCAGAUGGAUGCCGAGGGACCCUGUGGUGAGCGUCCCUGUGAAAAUGGUGGGAUCUGCUUUCUCCUGGACGGCCACCCCACCUGUGACUGUUCUACCACUGGCUAUGGUGGCAAGCUCUGCUCAGAAGAUGUCAGUCAAGAUCCAGGCCUCUCCCACCUCAUGAUGAGUGAACAAGGUAGAAGUAAAGCUCGAGAGGAGAAUGUGGCCACUUUCCGAGGCUCAGAGUAUCUGUGCUACGACCUGUCUCAGAACCCGAUCCAGAGCAGCAGUGAUGAAAUCACCCUCUCCUUUAAGACCUGGCAGCGUAACGGCCUCAUCCUGCACACGGGCAAGUCGGCUGACUAUGUCAACCUGGCUCUGAAGGAUGGUGCGGUCUCCUUGGUCAUUAACCUGGGGUCCGGGGCCUUUGAGGCCAUUGUGGAGCCAGUGAAUGGAAAAUUCAACGACAACGCCUGGCAUGAUGUCAAAGUGACACGCAACCUCCGGCAGGUGACAAUCUCUGUGGAUGGCAUUCUUACCACGACGGGCUACACUCAAGAGGACUAUACCAUGCUGGGCUCGGACGACUUCUUCUAUGUAGGAGGAAGCCCAAGUACCGCUGACUUGCCUGGCUCCCCUGUCAGCAACAACUUCAUGGGCUGCCUUAAAGAGGUUGUUUAUAAGAAUAAUGACAUCCGUCUGGAGCUGUCUCGCCUGGCCCGGAUUGCGGACACCAAGAUGAAAAUCUAUGGCGAAGUUGUGUUUAAGUGUGAGAAUGUGGCCACACUGGACCCCAUCAACUUUGAGACCCCAGAGGCUUACAUCAGCUUGCCCAAGUGGAACACUAAACGUAUGGGCUCCAUCUCCUUUGACUUCCGCACCACAGAGCCCAAUGGCCUGAUCCUCUUCACUCAUGGAAAGCCCCAAGAGAGGAAGGAUGCUCGGAGCCAGAAGAAUACAAAAGUAGACUUCUUUGCCGUGGAACUCCUCGAUGGCAACCUGUACUUGCUGCUUGACAUGGGCUCUGGCACCAUCAAAGUGAAAGCCACUCAGAAGAAAGCCAAUGAUGGGGAAUGGUACCAUGUGGACAUUCAGCGAGAUGGCAGAUCAGGUACUAUAUCAGUGAACAGCAGGCGCACGCCAUUCACCGCCAGUGGGGAGAGCGAGAUCCUGGACCUGGAAGGAGACAUGUACCUGGGAGGGCUGCCGGAGAACCGUGCUGGCCUUAUUCUCCCCACCGAGCUGUGGACUGCCAUGCUCAACUAUGGCUACGUGGGCUGCAUCCGCGACCUAUUCAUUGAUGGGCGCAGCAAGAACAUUCGACAGCUGGCAGAGAUGCAGAAUGCUGCGGGUGUCAAGUCCUCCUGUUCACGGAUGAGUGCCAAGCAGUGUGACAGCUACCCCUGCAAGAAUAAUGCUGUGUGCAAGGACGGCUGGAACCGCUUCAUCUGCGACUGCACCGGCACCGGAUACUGGGGAAGAACCUGCGAAAGGGAGGCAUCCAUCCUGAGCUAUGAUGGUAGCAUGUACAUGAAGAUCAUCAUGCCCAUGGUCAUGCAUACUGAGGCAGAGGAUGUGUCCUUCCGCUUCAUGUCCCAGCGAGCUUAUGGGCUGCUGGUGGCUACGACCUCCAGGGACUCUGCCGACACCCUGCGUCUGGAGCUGGAUGGGGGGCGUGUCAAGCUCAUGGUUAACUUAGACUGUAUCAGGAUAAACUGUAACUCCAGCAAAGGACCAGAGACCUUGUAUGCAGGGCAGAAGCUCAAUGACAACGAGUGGCACACCGUUCGGGUGGUGCGGAGAGGAAAAAGCCUUAAGUUAACCGUGGAUGAUGAUGUGGCUGAGGGUACAAUGGUGGGAGACCAUACCCGUUUGGAGUUCCACAACAUUGAAACGGGAAUCAUGACUGAGAAACGCUACAUCUCCGUUGUCCCCUCCAGCUUUAUUGGCCAUCUGCAGAGCCUCAUGUUUAAUGGCCUUCUCUACAUUGACUUGUGCAAAAAUGGUGACAUUGAUUAUUGUGAGCUGAAGGCUCGUUUUGGACUGAGGAACAUCAUCGCUGACCCUGUCACCUUUAAGACCAAGAGCAGCUACCUGAGCCUUGCCACUCUUCAGGCUUACACCUCCAUGCACCUCUUCUUCCAGUUCAAGACCACCUCACCAGAUGGCUUCAUUCUCUUCAAUAGUGGUGAUGGCAAUGACUUCAUUGCAGUCGAGCUUGUCAAGGGGUAUAUACACUACGUUUUUGACCUCGGAAACGGUCCCAAUGUGAUCAAAGGCAACAGUGACCGCCCCCUGAAUGACAACCAGUGGCACAAUGUCGUCAUCACUCGGGACAAUAGUAACACUCAUAGCCUGAAAGUGGACACCAAAGUGGUCACUCAGGUUAUCAAUGGUGCCAAAAAUCUGGAUUUGAAAGGUGAUCUCUAUAUGGCUGGUCUGGCCCAAGGCAUGUACAGCAACCUCCCAAAGCUCGUGGCCUCUCGAGAUGGCUUUCAGGGCUGUCUAGCAUCAGUGGACUUGAAUGGACGCCUGCCAGACCUCAUCAAUGAUGCUCUUCAUCGGAGCGGACAGAUCGAGCGUGGCUGUGAAGGACCCAGUACCACCUGCCAGGAAGAUUCAUGUGCCAACCAGGGGGUCUGCAUGCAACAAUGGGAGGGCUUCACCUGUGAUUGUUCUAUGACCUCUUAUUCUGGAAACCAGUGCAAUGAUCCUGGCGCUACGUACAUCUUUGGGAAAAGUGGUGGGCUUAUCCUCUACACCUGGCCAGCCAAUGACAGGCCCAGCACGCGGUCUGACCGCCUUGCCGUGGGCUUCAGCACCACUGUGAAGGAUGGCAUCUUGGUCCGCAUCGACAGUGCUCCAGGACUUGGUGACUUCCUCCAGCUUCACAUAGAACAGGGGAAAAUUGGAGUUGUCUUCAACAUUGGCACAGUUGACAUCUCCAUCAAAGAGGAGAGAACCCCUGUAAAUGACGGCAAAUACCAUGUGGUACGCUUCACCAGGAACGGCGGCAACGCCACCCUGCAGGUGGACAACUGGCCAGUGAAUGAACAUUAUCCUACAGGCAACACUGAUAAUGAACGCUUCCAAAUGGUAAAACAGAAAAUCCCCUUCAAAUAUAAUCGGCCUGUAGAGGAGUGGCUGCAGGAAAAAGGCCGGCAGUUAACCAUCUUCAACACUCAGGCGCAAAUAGCCAUUGGUGGAAAGGACAAAGGACGCCUCUUCCAAGGCCAACUCUCUGGGCUCUAUUAUGAUGGUUUGAAAGUACUGAACAUGGCGGCUGAGAACAACCCCAAUAUUAAAAUCAAUGGAAGUGUUCGGCUGGUUGGAGAAGUCCCAUCAAUUUUGGGAACAACACAGACGACCUCCAUGCCACCAGAAAUGUCUACUACUGUCAUGGAAACCACUACUACAAUGGCGACUACCACAACCCGUAAGAAUCGCUCUACAGCCAGCAUUCAGCCAACAUCAGAUGAUCUUGUUUCAUCUGCUGAAUGUUCAAGUGAUGAUGAAGACUUUGUUGAAUGUGAGCCGAGUACAGCCAGAAGCUCUAAUGCAGCUAGAUCACUCCGUGCCGCCCUUACAUGGACAUGGCGACUCACUUACACAUUUACUCCUAUCAUCUUCAUCUCCUGUGUAGUUCACUCAUAGAUAUGACCCUCCCCUUCCUGCAUCUUUCCUUCCCAUUCUCCCCCUUUCUUUAGCAUUGUUAAAAUUUAUGUGCUGUCAUCCAUCUCCCUAAAUUAAAGAAAGCCUAAAAUUUGUCAAAAAGACAAAAAAAUAUAUAUAUCUGAAAACUUAUAAAUGCAGAAAUUCAUUCAAAACCCGUUAGAGUCAUAGAAUUUUUUGAAAGGCAAAUUAUAAAAGUAAACAGGUUUUUUUGUUUGGUUUUUCAAUCAUAGCAAUCGGAAUUAUUUUAAAUUCAAAAAUUGAUGCCCUCCCAAACCCCCCAAAGUAAAAAUUUGUUAAAGUGCAGAUUUUUUUUUUCUUUUUAUGUUAUGUGGUGUGGAUGUAUGUGUUGUUGCCUCCCUGUAUCAUCCUCUGUUGUAAAUUAUUAUAUUUGAAAAAUUAGACAUUUUGCUCAAAAGUUUUUAAGAAAUGACAACAAAAAAAGCAAGUUACAAGAAUGUGGCAAUUCUAUUUGUCCAAGAGCAUUCUUACACAACUUUCUUUUGUAAAUUUUUCUUUCAUGCCAAAAAACAUGCGGGCAAUUUGUUGAUGAGGUGAAUUAGUUAUCCCUCUUCUUGUAGAAGACCCUUUAGCUACCCCUCCUAUUGCUACUCGUGCACCUUCCAUUACACUCCCCCCUACCUUUCGCCCCCUCCUCACCAUUAUUGAGACCACCAAAGAUUCCCUGUCCAUGACCUCUGAGGCGGGGUUACCUUGCUUGUCGGACCAAGGCAGCGAUGGUUGUGAUGAUGAUGGCUUGGUGAUAUCUGGGUAUGGCUCAGGGGAAACCUUUGACUCUAACCUGCCCCCUACUGAUGAUGAAGAUUUUUACACCACCUUCUCCUUGGUAACAGAUAAGAGUCUUUCCACUUCAAUCUUCGAAGGUGGCUACAAAGCACAUGCGCCCAAGUGGGAAUCCAAGGACUUUAGACCUAACAAAGUCUCCGAAACUAGUAGGACUACUACCACAUCUUUAUCCCCUGAGCUGAUCCGCUUCACAGCUUCCUCCUCGUCUGGGAUGGUGCCCAAAUUGCCAGCUGGCAAAAUGAAUAACCGUGAUCUCAAACCCCAGCCUGAUAUAGUCUUGCUUCCGUUGCCCACUGCCUAUGAGCUAGACAGCACCAAACUGAAGAGCCCACUAAUUACUUCCCCCAUGUUCCGUAAUGUGCCCACAGCAAACCCCACGGAGCCGGGAAUCAGACGGGUUCCGGGGGCCUCAGAGGUGAUCCGGGAGUCGAGCAGCACAACAGGGAUGGUCGUCGGCAUUGUGGCUGCUGCCGCCCUCUGCAUCUUGAUCCUCCUGUACGCCAUGUACAAGUACAGGAACAGGGACGAGGGGUCCUAUCAAGUGGACGAGACGCGGAACUACAUCAGCAACUCCGCCCAGAGCAACGGCACGCUCAUGAAGGAGAAGCAGCAGAGCUCGAAGAGCGGCCACAAGAAACAGAAAAACAAGGACAGGGAGUAUUACGUGUAAACAUGCGAACACUGCUCACACGCGAGUUUUCACAGUUAUUUCUAUCCACGCCUAUGAAUCUUUGGACGGUGAGAUCUCACAGAUGUCAGAACUGCUGGAACUAUGAAAUGGGGUAUAUAACCACGACUCUGGUGGGGAAAACCGUUUUUUAAAGGACACACACACACACAGCGAUGCAUCUCUCUCUAAAGCUCAGCCACGGCUGCGGCAAGGUCCCAGCGGUCGCUGGGAGACAGAAGGUUUUGUGCCCUGCUGUAUCAUAAAGCACACACUUAGCGCUCUGGAGCCGGACGGUGGCUCCACCACUUCCGCAGGCCUGGAAACUUCCUUCUCCGGAGGACCUUUUACUAAAAGGUAGAAGACUUCAUGGCUUACUUGUUCCAUAACUCCAAGUGAGUCUGUAAUGUUUGUGAAGCUUGACUGUAACCAUGUUUUUUCUGUUUAAUUAUGUAAAAAACAAAACUACAACAACAAAAAAAGAAAAAAGUUAAAAAAGAAAAAAACACCAAAAAACAAAAACAAACAAAAAAAAAAACCCACAACCCUUAUCUGGUUCUGACCAGUGUGCGUGUAACUUUAUGAUCUGAGGGGAAAAAUGGCUUUUGGGUUUUUGUUUAUUUUUUUGAUAAUGACUGGACAUCAGAAGAGGAAAAAAACUCAAAACAAAAGCGAGAGAGACUAUUGCCAUAUGAACUCAAAAGCUAUCAUGGUGUUCACUCUACAUAUCAGGUUAUGGUGUCUCUAGAAUCUGUUGUUUGUUUCCUAUAAGAUGCUUUGCUGAACACAUAGCAAAAUUCAUGUGACGGAUGAUAAAUUGAUUCGAAAAGCUGGUCCCCCAGGAUCUAAUUUCAGAAUUUACCACCCAAACCCGGAACAGAUGGGUUUAGGGCUGGUGUUAUCAGAGCUAUUGGCUUUACGUAACAAUAUUGUUCCUGUCCAUUCACCCAGCCAAAUUGUGUUAAAGAGGAAAGCCCCACAAACUAAAACAGCCUUUCCUAGGGAAGAGGAAGGGGAGGUGGGCUGGAUCUGUGACUGAUUGAAAUGCAUGCAAAUAAAAAAGACAAUAUUAAAGUCUGUUAUCAAACCAGACAGUAGGGGAGUUCAACUCGUGAUGGAACCACAAAAGGUCACACAAGCCAACCAUGUCAUGCCAGAGUACAAAACACAUAGUUCUUUCCCCGCCCCGAAUGUGACAAUGGUUUUCAUAGUGGUUUAAUUUUGUAGCCUGACAUUUAUGGAUAACUCUGUCCUUCCAUUUGCUCACUUCUCUCUUCACCCAUCUUUUUUAAAAACAAAUAAAUGAAUAAAGCUGCUGUGACACACACACAAAAGGAAUUUAAUAGUAUAAUAUAUAUAUAAAUAAAUAUAUAUACAGAUAUAUUUAUCAUGGUAUGUUUGAUGGGAUGACUGACACAGGAAAUCUGUUAAAGUCUUAAAAUGGAAUGAGAAUGUUGUUUUAAAAGAAAAUAGCAAAACAACAAAAAAGCAAACCUUAAAAUGUGAAGAAAGUGUGAAUUUUAGUUUUGUCACAGUUAACUGUGUCAAAGAGAAUUAAAAAAAAAAACUUCAGAUUUUGUUUACAUAUUUUACUACAUUUUUGCUGGUAUAAUUCCUUAGCCACCUAUGUACAUACUGCUUUAAGAAAUGUUUUUUUCCUGUUUAUUUCUGUUUGGUUUAUAUUCUGGUUGUCUUUUUCUUUUUGUAAAGAGGAAACAAUGUACAGAAAAACAAUAAACUGGUUGUAUGGCCAUAGCUAUCCGAAAAGCAAGAGACAAAGCAAGACAAAUAUUCACACAAAAAUGAAGUGUGUCCUCUGGAGGGUCAGAUAUACAAUUUCUUUUGUACAGAUGAAAAUCAAUCAGCUGCUUAGAUUUAGAAAUCUACUCUUGCUGGUCUUUGUAAGUUGCAUGAAUAUUUGACUUUGAAAAAAUAUCUUAACGACAUGGGGCAAAAAGUGCAAUCUAAAUGGUAGCCUUUACUAAUGUGUGUGGAAAGAGGUGUUCCUCAUUAUCUAAUAUUUCAAUGUGUUAAGAGUUUAAUUUUUUUGUUAUCAUUAAAAAAGACAGGAUUAUAAAGAGAUAUCAAAGCACGAUUUUAGAUAACCUAAACGGCCCAGCCUAUACGAAGUUGAUUAUAUCUCGAUGUCUGUAAAAGAUUGCUGUUCUUGGAGUCUUGAGGUCUUGUGAAUUGAUUUCCUGCUUUCUUUCAUUUUUUUCAAUUUAAGUAAUAAUACAUUUGUUAUAUUCCUUUCAGUGUAAGUUUCUAUUUGGACAAUUUUAUGGGAACAUGUGCAUUCUCUAUGUGAGCUUCUAUCAUAUUCCUGUUUUAUUAGCAGAACCUAAAGGAAUUUAUUUAAUGAUGUUGUGACAUUACUGCUUUUUCUUUUUUCUUUUCUUAGUUCAUAUUUGCAUUUUCGUUCAAGGAUAUGCUUAGCAAUAAAAUGUUCUUCCCAAAACCUUGUAUGCUGAUGCACUUUUAUUUUCUUAACAUUUGAGAAAAUCUCGCACUGAAGCUAAUUAUGUCAUAUCUUAUUAAAAGCCGAGUAAGAGCUAGACCACUUUCAUGUGAUAGAAGAUAUUCUAAGCAGUUACUAAUUAUUACAUUAUCAAAAUGCCAUAUUUAUGAGAUAAUUAUCUGUUACUUGAGGCAUUAUUUUUUAGAUUGCUAUGAUAGAAUAACCAGGAGGGAGUGCAUUUUUCUGGAAAGAUGAUAGAAACAUUGUAUUCUAGAAAAGAUUAUUGGAUACUAUGGUUUUGUUUGUUUGUUUUUGUUUUUUGUUUUUCGUUUUUUGUUUGUUUUUUUUUUGAGACAGAGUCUCGCUCUGUCGCCCGGGCUGGAGUGCAGUGGCACGAUCUCGGCUCACUGCAAGCUCCGCCUCCCGGGUUCACACCAUUCUCCUGCCUCAGCCCCCCGAGUAGGUGGGACUACAGGUGCCCGCCACCACGCCCGGCUAAUUUUUUGUAUUUUUCGUAGAGACGGGGUUUCACCGUGUUAGCCGGGAUGGUCUCGAUCUCCUGACCUCGUAAUCCACCCGCCUCGGCCUCCCAAAGUGCUGGGAUUACAGGCGUGAGCCACCGCGCCCGGCUUGGAUACUAUGUUUUUUAAAGGCAUUUCGUACCUUUUACGUAUUUUCUAUAAGUCAACAAGCUUUAAACAGUAUUUAAAACUAUGUUCACAUAGUGCCAUAAGCACUAGAAAGUCUUAGAUGUCUUCUUUCCAAGCCUCCCACCAUAUUAAAAUUUAAAAUUAAAAAACAGAAUCCAAAACCAAAAUUUAAAUGAGUUCUUCAAUUUUAACAGCUUCUUACAAGAAUUUCUGAUUACAACUUGUUUCAUACACCCAUUGUAGCAGUAAUGUCUCAUAUUUCUCGUUCUCUCAGCACACACUUACUUGGCCAAUUGGAUAAUCCAUCUACCCUUUGUUCUUCACUGUAAUCUAGAAAUAUAGAUUUAACUGAACAGCUGUCCUUUAUCCAUAUGUUGGUUACCAGUUUUCAAAGAGUUAGAAUUUUAAAAAUAUAUAUUUAGUUAAGCCUGUGCCUUCAAGAUAACAUUAGUGGAGUGGUUAUACUAUCGACUAUGUUAGGAAUGGGGGGGAGAAAGUCAGGUUCAGUGAUGUCAAAUUAUGUAAAGUUUUUUUUUUGUUCCUGUCUUCAAAGUUCUGUAUUAGAUGUUCUCCCAUCAUUUUUUGAGAUGGAGUCUUGCAGCCUACAGUGCAGUGGCAUGAUAUUGGCUCACUGCAACCUCUGCCUCUCAACCUCAAACGAUUCUCCUGCCUCAGCCUCCUGAGUAGCUGCGACUACAGGCAUGGGCCACCACACCCAGCUCAUUUUUUAAUUUAUUUUUUAUUUUUUUAGUAAGGAAGGGUUUCACCAUGUUGGCAAGGCUGGUCUCGAACUCCUUACUUCAAGUGAUCCACCCACCUUGGCCUUGCAAAAUGCUGGGAUUAUAGGUGUGAGCCACUCCUCCUGAAAUCUUUCUAAAUCUCACUAAUAUAUAAUUCUAGGACUACUUUAAGCAUUCACUUUUUCUUUAAUUCAAGAAACAUUUAUUGAACACUUAUGUACAAGCUAGUCUACUAUUGGCUAUUGUUACUUUGUUUCAAUGAAGGCAGAAAAUGGCUAGAAGGAUUUUAAGCCUUUUUGUCUCUUGUAUAAAUCUAUACAGGUCCAGUCUCUCUUUGCUCAUAUUCAAAUUGAAGUUUGAUCUUUCUCCAAAAAAUAUCCAAGCCCUGUGUUUGUCCCAGUUGAACUAAUAUCUUGAUUAUAUAGUUUAAGAUCAGUUUGAUAAUGUCUAUUGAAUAUUUACUAAAUGAUUAUGGGAUAUUAAAUUGAGAGCCUUGGGAGCUUAUCAUCUAGUAAAGAUGAACAAAAAAUGGUACUAUAGUGAAUGCAAAUAAGCUAUCAAAAAGUACAAACUAAGUUGGGAGCUUAGAAGAAAUUAUGUAAGGGAAGGCUUCAUAGAAGGGGUGACAUUUUGGUAAACCUUGGAAAACUGAUAGGCAGAAAUAAGGGCUGUAUAUCAUUCUAAGCAAACCCUUAAAGUGGGAGCAAGCAGGAUCAAAACCAUAAUUUGGAUUGAUGACAGACUGCAAAAAGUACAUUGGAGGAAGAUAUGAGUAGGAAGGUUUUUGAAAUCAUGUCAAUGAAUGGGAAGAGAGAAAUGGGAGAAUAGCUUGAGAAGUUCAAGGUCAAGGGCUGCUUUGUCGAGUACAAAGGACUCGAGCAUAUUUGAAAUGAAAGGUAAUAACUGAUCUACUCUUAUGGAGCAACCGAGUUUCCUGAUAGAGAUGUUUAUCUGGGGGAAAAAGGCAUAAGUCAAUCUUCUUGGAGAGAAUGGGAUCAGAAACUGACAUAUUGCUACAGAGGUUACAAAAGCUGUAGUCAGAGGGCUUCAGUGUUCUGGAUAUAUUAAAGGACAAGGUCAGAUACCCAAGUGGGACCGUGAGUGAUUAAUGGCAGCAGUCCACUGACAGCACCAGUAGGAAGGCGCUAAUGAAAAGAUCUCUAAAUAUCAGUAAGGGGUUAGCUGCCAUUAAUAAUACAACUUUAUAGCUUUACUAUUUUUUCUUUUAUUGUUGAAAUAGUGAGGGCACGUAUUUUUCUAAUUGUGUUUAUUACAAAGAAAACAGACCCGAAGAACUUAAAUGACUUCUCCAAGGUCACACAGCUAAUACAUGACAAUGUCAUGACUUAAAAUCCAGUCUUGUGGUUCCAAAUUUAGAGCUCUUUCAUAAACCUGUCUCUAGAGAAGCAAGUCAUUUUCUACUUUUUCCAGAAGCAUUUGAAGUGGAAGCUAAGGCAGGAAAUGAGAGGAUAUUGUGUUAGUCUACUGGGAUUACCCUGGCAAAAUACCACAGGCUGGGUAGACAACUGAAAUGUAUUUCUCAGUUCCAGAAACAAAGUUGCAGAUCAAAGUUUGUUAGGGCUCAGUUUCUGGGAAGGGCUCUCUUCCUGGCUUGUAGAUAAUAAGCUACCUUCUCACUAUGUACUCACAGGGCCUUUCUUCUGUUCAUGCACUGAGAGAUUUCUUUUUCUUGCUCUUCUUAUAAGACCACCAGUGCUAUUGGUUAAAGCCCUGCCAUUAUGACUUUGUUUGACCUUAAUUACUUCCUAAAGACACUACCUCCCAAUACAGUCAUGUUUGGGGUUGGGACUUCAACAUAUGAAUGUUGGAGGGGAUAUGGUUCUGUUUCUAGCAAAUGUAUAGUAGUGGGAAUUGCAAAGGUUGAAGUUCCAAAGUAUCAAGGGAAUCAGAAUUGGGAAGCAAUUCUAACCUUUUUGAAGUGGUUACAUGGCCCAAGUAGAAGAGCAAAUAAUUCCAAGAGACACCAAGCCACAGAGCAGGUAGGAUCACGUGAGUAGGGCCCAGGAUAGAAGAGCAGUGUUAGGGUUGCAUGAGAGUGAGGGCAUAUAAGACAACAACAGCUAAAAGCAAUGCAUGCUCAGAUCUUGGGAGAUGUAUUAAAUGAGUAGAGUGAAUUUCAAGAUAUCUGAGUUUUUUUUUUUUAAUGAUUACAUGGGUUCUAGAGUCAAAAUGCCAUGGCUCAUCUGGUACUGUAACUUAAGAUAAACUGCUUAGCUAAGGCUCAGCUUUCAUACCUAUAAUUUUGUUAUACUUAUCUUGCAGGUUUCUUGAGAAAUAUUGGAUGAAAUAAUUCAUGUGAAAUGCUUAACAUAUGUGUGACAAAUAAUUAUCCUUAAAUAAAUGUUGGUCGUUAUUACAAUUGGCUUUGUUACUUGAUUCAGGCAGGAUCAAAAUUAGCUGCUAUAUGCAUGACUAACCAGGACCAAAAAGUUAAUAAAAAUACGAAAGUUUGGCACUCUUA